GACGAACGCUGUCGGCGUGCUUAACACAUGCAAGUCGAACGGAAAGGCCCUGCUUUUGUGGGGUGCUCGAGUGGCGAACGGGUGAGUAACACGUGAGUAACCUGCCCUUGACUUUGGGAUAACUUCAGGAAACUGGGGCUAAUACCGGAUAGGAGCUCCUGCUGCAUGGUGGGGGUUGGAAAGUUUCGGCGGUUGGGGAUGGACUCGCGGCUUAUCAGCUUGUUGGUGGGGUAGUGGCUUACCAAGGCUUUGACGGGUAGCCGGCCUGAGAGGGUGACCGGCCACAUUGGGACUGAGAUACGGCCCAGACUCCUACGGGAGGCAGCAGUGGGGAAUAUUGCACAAUGGGCGGAAGCCUGAUGCAGCAACGCCGCGUGCGGGAUGACGGCCUUCGGGUUGUAAACCGCUUUCGCCUGUGACGAAGCGUGAGUGACGGUAAUGGGUAAAGAAGCACCGGCUAACUACGUGCCAGCAGCCGCGGUGAUACGUAGGGUGCGAGCGUUGUCCGGAUUUAUUGGGCGUAAAGGGCUCGUAGGUGGUUGAUCGCGUCGGAAGUGUAAUCUUGGGGCUUAACCCCUGAGCGUGCUUUCGAUACGGGUUGACUUGAGGAAGGUAGGGGAGAAUGGAAUUCCUGGUGGAGCGGUGGAAUGCGCAGAUAUCAGGAGGAACACCAGUGGCGAAGGCGGUUCUCUGGGCCUUUCCUGACGCUGAGGAGCGAAAGCGUGGGGAGCGAACAGGCUUAGAUACCCUGGUAGUCCACGCUGUAAACGGUGGGUACUAGGUGUGGGGUCCAUUCCACGGGUUCCGUGCCGUAGCUAACGCUUUAAGUACCCCGCCUGGGGAGUACGGCCGCAAGGCUAAAACUCAAAGGAAUUGACGGGGCCCCGCACAAGCGGCGGAGCAUGCGGAUUAAUUCGAUGCAACGCGUAGAACCUUACCUGGGUUUGACAUGGAUCGGGAGUGCUCAGAGAUGGGUGUGCCUCUUUUGGGGUCGGUUCACAGGUGGUGCAUGCCUGUCGUCAGCUCGUGUCGUGAGAUGUUGGGUUAAGUCCCGCAACGAGCGCAACCCUUGUUCACUGUUGCCAGCACGUUAUGGUGGGGACUCAGUGGAGACCGCCGGGGUCAACUCGGAGGAAGGUGGGGAUGACGUCAAGUCAUCAUGCCCCUUAUGUCCAGGGCUUCACGCAUGCUACAAUGGCUGGUACAGAGAGUGGCGAGCCUGUGAGGGUGAGCGAAUCUCGGAAAGCCGGUCUCAGUUCGGAUUGGGGUCUGCAACUCGACCUCAUGAAGUCGGAGUCGCUAGUAAUCGCAGAUCAGCAACGCUGCGGUGAAUACGUUCCCGGG
rnacentral:rRNA from 1 species